UUCAGACCUUCAUGCUAACAUCCGAGGAAUGAGGAGCAAUCCAGCUAAAGAAAAUGAGAAGUAGAUCCAGUGAUAGGAGUGACGGUGCAGUGGAGUCUACAUCCAGCUGUUCCAGUUUAACAGGUACAGAUAAGAGAUA